rnacentral:rRNA from 1 species
GACGAACGCUGGCGGCGUGCUUAACACAUGCAAGUCGAGCGGAGCGGCGAACGGGUGAGUAACGCGGGAGUAACUGCCCCCCUCUCUGGGAUAACAGUUGGAAACGGCUGAUAAUACCGGAUAGUGGGGGAUGCCUCGCGUCCUAUCAGCUUGUUGGUGGGCUAGUGGCCUACCAAGGCGACGACGGGAACCCGGCCUGAGAGGGCGACCGGCCACCUUGUGCUGAGAUACGGACCAAACGCCUACGGGAGGCAGCAGUGGGGAAUAUUGCACAAUGGGGGAAACCCUGAUGCAGCAACGCUCGUGCGGGAGGACGGCCUUCGGGUUGUAAACCGCUUUCAGCCAUGACGCGGUAGUGGCAGAAGAAGCACCGGCUAACUACGUGCCAGCAGCCGCGGUAAUUC